UUGGAGAUUUUACUUCAUUCCUAAGAAGUACAGAGCAACAGGUCAAGUAUUAAAUUAUAAUUUCAGUUUUCUUCAACCAAACUCAGUAUUCCACUGACGUGUUAAUCGCAAAAACUCAGCAGACCACAGGAGAUCAUUAUGUACGACAAUUGAAAAAUGUGGCUUUUAUACUGGGCCCUUUCUGUGGCGGAUUGCUGUAUCACGAUACCAGUAUUCUAUGUGUCGCUUCUAUGAUCAAUAUUUUAACAACUUUAAGUCUUGUAUUGGCUUAUAAAUUACCUCAAGACAAUAUUACAACAAACAUUCAAUUGCCCUCACCGCCAAUGUCAAAACUAUGGCAAAGCAGUUGGCGCGAGUGCUGGAAGAGUAAAUCCCUGCUCUCAAUGGUGAAAAUACUCACAACAAUUGGACUUUCAUGCUUUUUUAUCAAAUUUACUCUGGUAAUGACCGCAAAUCUCAAUGCAUCAGCGAGUUUGAUUGGAUUUACAAUAGCAAUGCACAAUUUAAUCUUUCACUCCGCUAAAUUCGCAUGCCAACUUCUAAAUAACUCUGUUCUGAGUAUUCAGAAGCAUAUCCGACAAUUAUUAUUAACUUGUCUUCUGGUUAUGACGAUCGCGAUGUACAUUUUGUGCCGGUCACAUGACUAUGGCGAAUAUUUAUUGGCAUUCGUGGGGCUAGCAAUGUCAAGAGAGAUGUUUGAACGCCUCUGGGGAAUAGAGGCAGAUUCGAUGACGAAAAACUCUAUGGAAUGUUUACAGAAACUUAUCACUUGUGUUCUUCCCGUGGUGCUGGGCGCUUAUUGUGAUCUUUAUUCACAUCGAGCCGUUCAGACGUUGGCUGUGGUUCCUUUAAUAUUCGCUACACUUUUGGGAUUUAAACAAUUGGCAUGGCAACCGGAAAAUUCAAAAUGAAAGUAGUAGAACAACAAAUUAUGAAAUCAUUCAAUCUUGCUAUAAGUGCAAAUAAUAAAAGCAUAAUUAGUCAUUCUUAAAGCAAGAAGACAAAAUAUAUACCCUCAUGUACAUUAAA